GGGGAAUAUUGCGCAAUGGGGGCAACCCUGACGCAGCAACGCCGCGUGAAGGAUGAAGGUUUUCGGAUUGUAAACUUCUUUUAUUAAGGACGAAAAUUGACGGUACUUAAUGAAUAAGCUCCGGCUAACUACGUGCCAGCAGCCGCGGUAAUACGUAGGGAGCAAGCGUUGUCCGGAUUUACUGGGUGUAAAGGGUGCGUAGGCGGCUUUGCAAGUCAGAUGUGAAAUCUAUGGGCUCAACCCAUAAACUGCAUUUGAAACUGUAGAGCUUGAGUGAAGUAGAGGCAGGCGGAAUUCCCCGUGUAGCGGUGAAAUGCGUAGAGAUGGGGAGGAACACCAGUGGCGAAGGCGGCCUGCUGGGCUUUAACUGACGCUGAGGCACGAAAGCGUGGGUAGCAAACAGGAUUAGAUACCCUGGUAGUCCACGCUGUAAACGAUGAUUACUAGGUGUGGGGGGUCUGACCCCUUCCGUGCCGGAGUUAACACAAUAAGUAAUCCACCUGGGGAGUACGGCCGCAAGGUUGAAACUCAAAGGAAUUGACGGGGGCCCGCACAAGCAGUGGAGUAUGUGGUUUAAUUCGAAGCAACGCGAAGAACCUUACCAGGUCUUGACAUCCAACUAACGAAGUAGAGAUACAUUAGGUGCCCUUCGGGGAAAGUUGAGACAGGUGGUGCAUGGUUGUCGUCAGCUCGUGUCGUGAGAUGUUGGGUUAAGUCCCGCAACGAGCGCAACCCUUGCUAUUAGUUGCUACGCAAGAGCACUCUAAUAGGACUGCCGUUGACAAAACGGAGGAAGGUGGGGACGACGUCAAAUCAUCAUGCCCCUUAUGACCUGGGCUACACACGUACUACAAUGGCAGUCAUACAGAGGGAAGCAAAACCGCGAGGUGGAGCAAAUCCCUAAAAGCUGUCCCAGUUCAGAUUGCAGGCUGCAACCCGCCUGCAUGAAGAUGGAAUUGCUAGUAAUCGCGGAUCAGAAUGCCGCGGUGAAUACGUUCCCG
rnacentral:rRNA from 1 species